GAGGCUGUGGAACAGCAAAUAUUGCAGAACAGAAAAUACUGCUGCCUGAUCCUUCCUCUGGAAACUUCGUCCUAGAGUGGCACCCACCUACAUGAGGAAGCCAGAAUGGACUGAAUGUCACAGCCUUUAUAACCCACACUGUGGCCGCAAGAAGAGAUUCAAAGAAAAGAAGAUCCUCCCUGCCAUUCCUCAGUGGCUGAAGUGCGUGGCCAGUCAUCAUUCGCUGAGCCCUUACUAGUAAGAUACUGAGAAUCCGACAGGUUAAAUUACUUCAAAAUCAAACAAAAAAAAUCGUAGAACUGGGAUUUAACCCUCAAAGCGUCAAUUCUGAAGUUAAAGCUUUACCCCAGGGCCUUAAGACACAGGAACUAGCAUCAGAAAUGUCUCAAAAACAUGAUGCUAUUUGGUUUCUACGUGCUUUAACUCAGCCCACAUCAGCAGCCUCUGUUCUGGAGCAGAAAUGGAAGGAAAAUUCCUGGGACUUUAGUGCUUCCUGCAGCCAGCCUCAGGCCCUUUUCUUCUACAGAUUCUGGGAUGCAAAAAUCCUACUUCUGCUCUAAAAGGAGAAAAUGUGAUUUGCAAGGAGAAUGUAAGUCUCAAAGAGGUACCUCUUCUUCUUCCUUGAGAGCCAUUGCCCCUUUUAUCAAUGUGACACAGCCCUUCGGAAACAGGCUCCUUGUUCUUGGAGCUUGGCAGGGAAAAAAAACCAAGAAUUCAUUUGAAGGAGAGAAAGCAUCGUUAAAAAUGCCCUAUUUAGGGAAAACUUCAGAGCCAAGACUAGAUGUAUGUUCUCAUUAUUUCACAUGUUGUCAGAGUAACCAGUACAGUGAAAAGACAGCCUUUUGAAGAAAACAAGUUUGUGGAAAGUGCUUAAUUAAGGACACUGGCAUUUAUUUUUGACAUUUAUGAGACGAGAAAUGGUCACAGAAAACUAGAUGACUUUGCUUCACAAACAUACUGAAAACAAACAAGGAGCAUCAUUCCCACCAAGUGCUGAAGCAGCAUAUACUUUAAUGCCUUAUUUUGGUCGAGCCAAUAUUUUGGUCAAGUGAUAAUGGGGGCACUGUAUAAUCUGCCGGGCCUAACUCAUUACUCAUCCUGGAGCCUGUCAAUCCUCCAGAGGUCAGAUCAUUGGCUUUGGUGGUUAUGUGGUCCUUGGUCUCUGCCCUCUGGGAGCUGAGGGUGAGAGAGUCUGUCACACCUGAAAACACAAAUCCUGCUGCCUUUCAAGCCACCAGUCCUGCUGUGAUAGACAAGCUACAUUUUCUUCCCAUUCUAUAGAAAGCAGCGGAACACCAGCUAAGAUGUGGUAUAAACUCCUGAUUGUUUACAGGCUUACAGAGCCUGUGGAAUGAAUGCAUAACUGUCCACAAAUAUCUUCUAGUAUUUAACCUUCAUUUAUUUUCCUUCAUGGUUUAAAUUUUCCAUUGUGAGGGGGAAACUCCUGGAUCUCUAGCAGUGCUUGCUGAAAAAUGUUAAUUUCCCCUCAUAUUUUCACAUCCUCAAGACUAGCACAGAACAGGAAUUUCUCAUAGCUAGAAUUAUAUUGACUUAUACGAGAGAGACUUUGUUUGCUCAUUUAACAAAUAUUAAAUGAGAGCUGACUGUAUGCCAGACACUACUGAAGGCAUAGAGGACUAAACCAUGCAGACUAGAUCCCCUCUCAAGGGAUGGCAUUGGGAUAAGGAGGCAGCGAUAAUCAAAUAACUGAAUAAAUAAGAUUAGUGGUGCAUGCUAUGAAAUAAGACAGAGUGUUGUAAUAGAAAGUGUUGGGGAGGCCAGUGAGGAAGGGCUACUUAUAAGUGAAUGUCAGUGAGGAGGUGACCUCUGAGCUAAGGCUUAGUGACUAGAGGAACCAGCUAUGCAAAGGCCUGGAGGAAGAGAAUUCCAGCAUGAGGGAUCAACAGGAGCAAAGGCCUCAAGAAAGGAAAUAUCUUAACCUACUCUAGAAGGGCAAUGUGGCAAGAGCAUAGAGAGAUGGGGUAAAGCUGGGAGAAGUCAUAGAUAAGAAUAGGGUCAAUCAUGUAGAACCUAAUGGACCAUGAAAAAGAGUGAAUUUUGUUCUAAAUGCAGUAGGAGGCUACUGGAGAUUUUGAUAUGGAGAUUUAAACAACCCAUUUCAUAUUUUCAUAGCACUACUCUGAGUUUUUUAUAAAUUAUAGAGGAGCUCAAGUAGAACAAGAUUUCAUAAUAAUCAAAGCUAGAGAUAACAGUGGCUUAGACCAAGGUGAAAAAUGGUAGAAAUGAAAAGAAGUAAACAGAUGUGAAAUAUAUUUUUUAAAUGGAGCCAAGAGUUUUUGUUGAUGGAUUGAUGACGUCUACUAACACGAGGAAGACUCCGGAAAGAAUAAUUGGCAGGGGGUGGGAUUUAAGACCUCUCUUAGGUAGAACUAAAAUUGAUAGGUGCUUUAGAAAUUCAAGUGAGAAUGUCAAUCGUGUAGCUGGGCUAAAUGGUACUUAGUUAAGGUUAGAGUUUGGAGAACAUCUUUCAAUUAAUUAAAUCCAAAAUGAAGAGAAUCUCAAAUGAAAACAUGCAUAAGUUUGGUAUGGGGAAAAAACUUCUCAAUCUAACAUCUCUGUUUCUGUCACUGACACCAUUUUUCUCAUUAUCCAUAUUCAAAAAGUUAUAUUGAAUUCCUUUUCUCCCCUUCACUUCCAUAUUUAGACACAGUAUUUAUCAUCAUGGUAUUUAUCUGCUCCAAGAUCUUUGAUGACUCUCGAUUGGAUAAAUUAUUUAGCCUUCUAGACCUGCAUCUUUAUCUAUUUUCCAGCUUUCUUUCUUCUAUCCCCUAUCAUGAACUCUUGGCUUCAACUGAAUGUAUCUCUCCAACUGGAAUCUACUUGUGCCAUAUCUGCUUCCUUGUCUGAGGUGGCUUUUCCACUCCUCUUAGCUGAGUCUUACCUGCCUUUUGAGGUCCAGAUAAAAUUCUACCUCCUCCAAAAAAUACUCCUUGGGUUCUCUCAAACCUAUAGACAAUGUUUGUCUUAUCAUUUGGACCAUCGUUUUCAUGAUCACUCUGUAAUUAAGUGUGUGGUAUUGAUAACUGUCCAUUACUCUCUUCCAUGUCAUGUCUAUUCAGGAAAUCAUAUGCUUCUUUAGGCUAGAAAUUUGACAUAUCUCUUGAUAAUUAACAAUUGCUGGCCAAGUGAAUUUGAAAUUCAACUUAACCAUGUAGUUUCCUUUGAAACAUAGCUGAGACUAUAUAUUUAAAAUACAGUCACCUCUUGAUAUCCUCGGGGGAUUGCUUCUAGGACGCCCCUCAUGUACCAAAUUCCUCUGAUGCUUAAGUCUGUUAUACGAUAUAUGCAGGUUAUAUACAAAUACUUUGACAUUUUAUAUAACAGACUUAAGCAUCAGAAUCGUUUUUUUUCUGAAUAUUUUUGAUCUGGAUUUGGUUGAAUCCACAGAUGUGGAACCCAUGGAUAUAAAGGGCUGACAGUACUUCAUUAAAGAACAAAGCAAAACAAGUAAAUCUUAGGUGGGGAUUGAAUGAAAGAGCAUGUAAUUUGAACACAGAAGGCUCACAGAAAUUUUAUGAGGUUUUACUAAGAAAAUGUAUAUAAAAAUCCUUUGUACCUGG
rnacentral:lncRNA from 1 species